AUUGAACGCUGGCGGCAGGCUUAACACAUGCAAGUCGCACGGAGUGGCGGACGGGUGAGUAAUGCAUGGGAAUCUGGCUUAUGGAGGGGGAUAACUACGGGAAACUGUACCUAAUACCGCAUACUAUCAGAUGAGCCUAGGUGUGAUUAGCUAGUUGGUGGGGUAAUGGCCUACCGAGGCGACGAUCCGUAACUGGUCUGAGAGGAGGAUCAGUCAUACUGGAACUGAGACACGGUCCAGACGCCUACGGGAGGCAGCAGUGGGGAAUAUGGGACAAUGGGCGCAAGCCUGAUCCAGCCAUGCCGCGUGUGUGAAGAAGGUCUUCGGAUUGGAAAGCACUUUAAGUGGGGAGGCGUUACCCACAGAAUAAGCACCGGCUAACUCCGUGCCAGCAGCCGCGGUAAUAC
rnacentral:rRNA from 1 species